UUUCACUUUCACUUGCAAUAUCUACAAAAGGACUUGUAUCUAGAAAAUAUGCCAAUGGAUAAUAUUUUUACACCCAGCAGUUACAGAGACUUUUUAGGGACAGGCAUAGUGCUAAAUGCUGUCUGACAUUUAAUCUUCACAACCCUGUGUGUUAGGAAAUAUUUGCCACAUUUUACAAAGGGGAAAAUAAACCUUGGAAAAGUUCACCUGGAUUACUCAUUUAGUUUCACAACAACUCAGGAUAAGCAGUAGCAGAAACCAGCAGAACUCACUGGUGUCCCGCAGCAGAAGUGUGUUUCCUGUUUAUACAGUCAACUGUGGCUCCAGGUGACUCUCCAAGGCCACUGUUCUCCACACAGAGACUCUGUCCCAGGCAUAGUCUGGAACAAAAAACCUCAAAAGAGCAGAAAAGAAUGAAGCCUGCAAGUUUUCCCACCAGCAAUUAAAAACUUUGGCUGGGAAAUUACAUGUUACAUCUACUUACAAGGCAUUGGCCAGAAUUAGUCACGUAGACCCAACUAACUUCAGGAGAAAAAUAUCCACAUGGGUGCCCAGAAAGAAGAGAACUGAAUCUGGAAAAACUACUUUUUGGCCGCUUGAGACCUCAGGAAAGCUACGGUGUAAUAAUCCAUGCCUUCAAGAGUGUCACCUCUCCAGAGAAGGGAUCUAGGGUGUUCCCAUAAAUAUGGUAUUUGUGCCCAUCUCUCCAUGAGAAAAGGAAAAUACAAGAAAUAACAGAAGCUGUGAUGAUUUCAGAAUUAUCACAGGGACCUUGAAAUUAUCAUUCUGAAAAUAAAAUUGUUUCUACAAAAGGCAA
ensembl:lncRNA